GGGCCCGUGGCGUAGCAUGGAAGCGUGGUGGCCUGCGGAGCCACAGGUCCCGGGUUCAAGUCCCGGCGGGCCCGCCA
rnacentral:tRNA from 2 species